rnacentral:tRNA from 1 species
GGAAUAUAGCUCAGGGGUAGAGAACUUGCCUAGCAUGGGUGAAGCCCUGGGUUCAAUCCCCAGUACCA